CCGUGUGGUGUUUCAUAAUGGAUCAUUUUGCGAAAUUGGUUCAAUUGAUUCAAAUUUUCGAGAAGGUUCAUUUCUCCUAUUACUACUUAGUACACAGUACAACAAUAUAUGAGAAUAACAACAUAUUUUUUACUCUGAACUGGCAUUAUAACGUCAAUUGAGUGUUUGAAAUAGCUUCCAUCUGUGAACUGAUGAGAAAUUAUAUUUUAUAGAAUUCUAUCAAAAUAGGUUAUAAAUAUUUCAUGUAGACUCCAAGGGGAUUGAUUGUUCAACCAAAAAAAAAAAGCAAGAAAAAAAAGCAUCAGUUAUUUACCCUCAUGUUGUUAGAAACUCAUAUGACGUCUGCGGAACACAAAAGGAGAAAUUCUGAUCAAUCUUUUUUUGCAUACAAAUACAAUGAAUGGGAAUUGCAUUUAUUUUAGCUUCGAACACACAAUGCAUUAAUUCUAAAACUGACCACAGGCAUAAAACAAAAGAAUACUUAUGUAUCAUCAGCAAAUCUUGACACGGGUCAGCAAUUUCCUGCAUAGCAAGUUUGUAAUCAGAGCCAGACUCAAUAGUAGUGUCAUUUAAUGGUGGAUCGGAUGAUGAAGCUGUCGUAGCUUCUUUUCUUUUUACCCAAUAAUAAUAAUUAAAAAUUAUGCCAGACUUGUUAUGAUAGGACAGUUGUAUCACCAUGACCUUUUUUCAUUUAUUGACAAAUUAAAAAUUUGUUCAUCAUAGGAAAGGUUUGUUUAUACCAUUUCAUGUACGAAUUGUAUGUAUUUUAUAUUAAACCAAGAUGUCCAGACACCCUAGUGACGUGGUGAGGACUUUUGCACAGGCUGUGUAACUUGGUCGCUGGCCUCGUACAUUAUAUAUUGUUUUCUUUUCUCUCUUCAAGAAAUGGCGUGGAGGGCCCUGGCAGCGUUGUCCCUGCUGCUGUGUUUUGGCUCAUCUUGCUGUGAUGAUACUCAAGAUUAUUUCUUGUCUGAUACCGUCAUCAACAAUGUCGUUCAGGACCCUCAAACCGUCCGAAUUUAUGUGGGUGCCAUUAAUAACAUCUAUCAGCUAAACUAUAACCUGCUGAAGGAAAGCAGUGCUACAACAGGCCCUAAGAAAGACAACCCACACUGCACUCCACCAAUCACUGCACAGUGCACUGAUGCAAAGGAUAUGGACAACAUCAACAAACUCCUGCUGGUUAACUCCGCCAACGGCACCUUGAUCGUUUGCGGAAGCCUUUUCAGGGGCAUCUGCUCUUUGGUAAACCUCAACAGCGUGGACAAACAGGUGUACUACAGUGACACUAAAGGCGAGAAGACGUACGUAGCCAGCACAGAGGAGUCUGUUGCCGUUGUGGGAGUAAUUUCUUAUUUUAUAGAUGCUCAUAAUAAUGCAAACCUCAGCAUAUUUCUAGUGGGGAAGGGCUAUGGUAGCUCAGACAGUUCAAAACUCAUCAGCACCCGACUGCUGCAGGAGCAUGGAGAAAUGGAUGUCUUUGAGAACAUGGUUGAAGCCUCCACUGUGCAAGCUAGUCCUUUUGUCCAGCGAUACCUCCACGACUUUCGCCAUGCUUUCAAAGACAACGGUUACAUCUACUUCUUGUUCUCACGUACUCCAGGCACCAGCGACAGCAGGAAGAUCACAUUUAUAGCGCGCCUGUGCGAGAAUGACCAUCAUUAUUAUUCUUACACCGAGCUCCAGCUCAAUUGCUCCGUCAAAAAUGAACAACAGGAGAACACAUUCAACACGGUCCAAGCUGCGUUUCUGACCAGACCAGGAGAAGUUUUGGCUAGCAAGAUCAUCCCUUCGAAUCCCAAUGGUAAGGUUCUGUUUGCAGUCUUCAGCGCGGAUGAGGAUGGUGGCGGUUCUGCCUUGUGCAUGUACCCGCUCAGCAGCAUUAACGCCAGGCUUGAGGAGUUGAUUGAGUCCUGCAACAUAGGAGAAGUUCUGGAGGACGAGAAACCUGUUUAUUCACCCUACAUCUCUAAGACCGAGACCAUCUGCAAGCCCAAAAAAGACAAGAACAUGGUGAAGAUAUAUAAAUGUGGUGCAGAGUUCCUGCCAUCUCCACUAGCCAGUAAACCUGAGUACGCUCUGGCUGUCGAACCCAUCUACACCCGAAAUAACAUGCUGACAGCUGUAGCUGUGGCGGUGGAGGAUGAACACACUGUGGCAUUUUUGGGAACCAGUGGAGCGGAUGUCUUAAAGGUGCAUCUUGACCCCAUCCACACGGACCUUUAUAACAAGAUUCCAGAGGAACGCACAGACGGUGGGGUGAACAAAAACCUCUUUUUAAAUUCAGCUUUGGAUCAUUUGUACAUCACCACUGGAAGAAAGAUCACCAAAGUGCCAGUGCAGGCCUGUGAGCUGAAGAAUGAUUGUCAAUCAUGUGUGUCCCAAUGGGACCCAUAUUGUGGCUGGUGUGUGUUGGAGGGCCGUUGUACUAGGAAAAAGGAUUGUCGCAAAGGAGAAGGAAAGAACGCCUGGUUGUGGAGUCCAAAACAGACAUGUGUAAUUAUUGAUUCCUUCGAACCCCCCAACUUCAGCUGCAAGAAAAAAUAUAAUUCACAGAUUUUGUGGCAGUGCCAGUGAUGAUCAUGAUGAAUGACAGCAUUGAAGUGGUAUUUGGUGCAUUUGAGUUCUACAACUGUGCAGACGUGGUGAAGAGAUCGGAGAACACACCAUGCAUUGCAUGUGUAACCAGUAAGUGGGGCUGCCAGUGGAACAUUCAGGAUCACACAUGCAGUGAUAGAGAUGACACUGUCAAGGGUGAUCAUAUCAUACAACACAUGGAGUGGUGCUCUACAACUGUUCAGUUAGACAUGAGGACUGCAGUUUGUGUAAGAACGCUGAUCAGAAGUAUAACUGCAUGUGGUGUGACACAAUAAAAUCCUGCAUCUAUAGAAACCUGUGCAACCAGGAGCUGGAGCAGUGUCCUCCUCCAAAGAUCACUGACUUUGUUUCCCAGGAAGAGCCAGUGAAGGGGCAGAUCUCUGGCACAACAAAAGGCACUAACUUGGGCAUCAUGCAGGAGGACAUUAAGAGAAUCAUUGUAGCUGGAGUGCCUUGUACUCAUCCGCCA